rnacentral:sRNA from 1 species
GACCUAACCCGACGAGUUUAUCUCGGCGGUAUGGUCCAAAACCGCGACGAACAUAGAGAACCCGUUAUCAGGGCGUUCGUCGCGUUGCCAGUGGAAACACUGGUAGAGGUUACCGCAAGGUGCCUU